rnacentral:tmRNA from 1 species
GCUACCGAUGCGCGAAGCCUGCCGUCCGGCGUCGCGAAGGGGGAAUCCCAAAAGAACGGAUACACUCGUAGAAAGUUGCGGGAAUGGGUUUUCGGACGCGGUUUCGAUUACCGCCGGCUCCACCA